GAUUAAUUUAUUAAAUAGCUGCAGUAUUUUGACUGUACAAAGGUAGCAUAAUCAAUAGUUUUUUAAUUAAAAGCUGGAAUGAAGGAUUUGAUAAGGUAAAUAUUGUCUCAAUUUUAAUAAAUUUAUAAUUUUUUUUUUAGUAAAAAUACUAAAUUGAAUUUAAAAGACGAGAAGACCCUAUAGAUUUUUAUAUUUUUUUAUUUAAUAAAUUUAAAUUAAUUUUUUUUUUAAGUUAAAAAUUUAUUUGGUUGGGGAAAUUAUUAAAUUAAUAAAAUUUUAAUAAUUAAUAAACAAAAAUUAUUGAAUUUAUGAUCUUAAUGUUUUGGAUAAAUAGAAUAAAUUACCUUAGGGAUAACAGCGUAAUUUUUUUGGAGAGAUCAUAUUGAUAAAAAAGUUUGCGACCUCGAUGUUGAAUUAAGAUAAAAUUUUAAUGGAGAAAUUAAAAAUUUU
rnacentral:rRNA from 1 species